UAAAAUCAGGCAUAAAAUUUUCUCAACUCAUAAAUAAAAAGAUAAUACACUUCAGUGCACUUAAAUCCACGUACUCCUGUAUUGACAAUAAUGGUCAUGCCACUUAAGUUAAGACUCAAUUGACUAUGGCCUUUCAAUUUAUAUAUAUAUAUAUUCAAAUUUUUAGAUAUAUAUUUUUUUUACAAUUGUUUUUUUUAAAUAAAGGUUUAUAAUAUCAUUAACCACCAAAGGGUACACAUAAAAAGGCCCCAAAGCCUUGAAAAGUAAUACAACAAAGAACAUGGGCUAGCCAGGCCCAACCCAAACCUGAAAUAAGCAAACCUUAGCCACCUAAACUUCCGGCCGCCAUUGCUUGUAACGGGGGAGGGAAAGGGAUGGCUGGAGGGAGUAGACCCAAAAGGGCUGACCAACAUAUGACUGGCAAAUCCACUGCUGAGGAGGGGCCAAAGCCUAGGACUACCGUCGCCUCCGUUGAGCAUAUCGGGGACACCGACGGCUGUAGAUCCAACGCUUUCGAGAGGGCAUUAGCAACCGACCGGCGAGGGCAUCGUGUAACUCGAUCGACAUCACCAUGUGCGAGCCGUCAAGGCCGAAUAGCGACGGUGUACCGCCGUGCGCAGUGAACUUGCUGGAGUGUUCAAAACAAAUGCCGAGAAAACUGAAACUAGUCCAGCGGUGGGAAAAGAGGCAGAACCCUUGGGGUGAAGUAAGCCGCCGCCUUUUUUCAAAUACUUUUUUCCCCUGUAAUAAAAAAAUUCAAAUUACAUUUAAUAAUUUAUCUAGUGGCUGAAUAGAUCGUACCAUCGGUUUUCAGUCUAUCAGUUUAAUUAGUUUGUCUAGUUUAAUUAAAUAAGUUUAUAAUUUUUUAAAAAUUAAUAAAAAUAGAAAAAAUUGAUUCAA
rnacentral:lncRNA from 1 species